UCCUAAUGGUUUGUGAGGAUGCUUCAGCA
rnacentral:piRNA from 1 species